CACUCCAUCCCCAACCUUCAGCCGCGCCCCUCCCCAUGCCGUGUUUCUUCUCUCCCUUCCUCCGCGCUGCCGCGAAACCACCGCAAAGCACACUUCAGCUGCGCCCUGUGAAAGAACUCUCAUGCCAUGCUGCAAUCCACAAGUUGAGCAGCGGUGUGUUGGAACCAUGGCGAAACUUGCUGGAUCCAGCCAGGGAAAAAGCUGGAACCACGGCCAUGAGAUGUUGCACAGAUGCUGCGACAGGAGGCACCCCCAGGCCAUAGGUUUUUUUUGCUGUAAUAAGGGGGCGCGUUUUGGCUGCAACCAGCUGCGGUGUAUGUUGGAACCGGCGAGGAAUUUUGCUACAUCUGAUGUCUGUUUUUGCUGGAAAUCAUCGCAUUUUUAUUUUUGCUACUACCAGCUUGUGUUUUUUCUGGAACCCGCAGCCAAUUUUGCUACUACCAUUUUUUGGGGUUUGCUGGAUUGCGCCAUUUUUUGCUGGAACCAGUAUCUUUUUUUUGGGAAUCAGUGUAUUUUUUUUGCUACCAACAGCUCCGCUGGCGAGCGCCGUCGUCAUCACAUUACUGUUGCAACCAGAGGGCGAACACUGUGGUCUGGGCGGACGAUGGCGACGAGUCGUUCUUGGUGUUGGGACCGGCGGUGAGGUGCAACGACUAAUGCCGUCGAGGAGGCGCGGUGCUGCCACCGGUGAGGAGCGGCAUCGCGGUGGCGAGAAAGGGGAAGGGCGCAAGGUAUGCUGGACGUCGGGGUGAAAUCGGACGGCCGCACAGCUCGCAUCAUACGGCUGGGAUGCGACCGGCCCAACGUCAGGGAUGAGUAGAGUUGCAAGUGGAACAUGGAUUAGGAACAUGCACUGCAGCUUCAUUUGUACCAAGAAAAAAAAAUCAAAAUCUCAUGAGAAGAAGAAGAAGAAUGAUUAAAUUUA